UACGUAGGUGGCAAGCGUUGUCCGGAUUUAUUGGGUUUAAAGGGUGCGUAGGUGGUCUAUUAAGUCAGUGCUGAAAUAUCCCGGCUUAACCGGGAGGGUGGCAUUGAUACUGAUGGACUUGAGUAAAGUUGAGGUGGGCGGAAUUGACGGUGUAGCGGUGAAAUGCGUAGAUAUCGAGAGGAACACCGGUGGCGAAGGCAGCUCGCUGGGACGUGACUGACGCUGAGACGCGAAAAGCGUGGGGGAGCAAACAGG
rnacentral:rRNA from 1 species